rnacentral:rRNA from 1 species
GCCAUCCUUGGGAUACCACCCUUGUAGUACUGGGACUCUAACCAUAGGCCAUGAAUCUGGUCUUGGGACACUGUCAGGUGGGCAGUUUGACUGGGGCGGUCGCCUCCCAAAAGGUAACGGAGGCGCUCAAAGGUUCUCUCAGUACGGUCGGAAAUCGUACGUAGAGUGUAAAGGCAAAAGAGAGCUUGAUUGCAAGACAUACAGGUCGAGCAAGGAUGAAAAUCGGACUUAGUGAUCCGGUGGUUCUGCGUGGAAGGGCCAUCGCUCAACGGAUAAAAGCUACCCUGGGGAUAACAGGCUUAUCUCCCCCAAGAGUCCACAUCGACGGGGAGGUUUGGCACCUCGAUGUCGGCUCAUCACAUCCUGGGGCUGUAGUAGGUCCCAAGGGUUGGGCUGUUCGCCCAUUAAAGUGGUACGCGAGCGGGGUUCAGAACGUCGUGAGACAGUUCGGUCCCUAUCCGUCGCAGGCGUAGGAAAUUUGAGAAGACCUGUCCUUAGUACGAGAGGACCGGGAUGGACGUACCUCUGGUGUACCAGUUGUCCUGCCAAGGGCAUGGCUGGGUAGCUAUGUACGGAAUGGAUAAGCGCUGAAAGCAUCUAAGCGCGAAG